CCGGCUGGCUCUCCUCUCUUCUCACUUUGCUCUCUUUUUCUUUUUCAUUUUGUCUCAAACACCCACAAUCCCCUCUCACACUCCCUCACUCUCCCACCGAUGCAUCAAUUCACCCUUCCACCAUUAUCUUCUGGCGAAAAAGCUCCAUAAAAACCUCUUAAACUCCUACAUCUCAUCUUAUUUAAGGUUCUAACUAAUCUCCUUUGGAGUUUUGGAACUACGCUUUUUGCGGGUUGCAAGGUAAGUAGCUUUUAAUAGGAUUUUUGGAAAAUAACCAUGUUGUAUAAACAUUGUUUUCGGGUCAAACACAUUUUGGAAAAUUAAUGGUGGAACUAUGUUUUUCUAAAAAGUGUUAUGUUAUGACCCUACUAUAUAUGAUUAUAUAUGAAAGUGCAUAUUUUUAUUGCAUAUAGAGAAUUGCAUGAUUCGUUAGCAUGGAAAAGACUAGCAUCUUUGAUUGAAAUCUUGAGAAUGCGUUUUAUGGAUUCAAUGCAUUAUUUGCAAAUUCUAAAGAUGCUUUAUCUUUCCUUGUAUUAUUUGGGAAAUUUACGCAAAAUAUUUAUGUCAAGAAAUAGUUUAGAGGACUUUGAGAAUAUUGUGGCUAUUUGGUUAUUGAAAUAUUUUAUGAAACUACUUGGAAGUGAACAGUGUAUUUUAAAUACAUUAACUUGUGAGCUUUUGACAUGGUUUUGUCAUUAUGCCAUGAUAUUGGUGAUUACCCCGUCUGUGUGACGAUCUGUCUAUGUGACGAUCCAUCUGUGUGACGACCCCGUGUGUGUGACAACCUGUCUGUGUGACAACUCGUCUUUGUGACGACCUUGUCAUGUGGCCUUGGGUGAGGUUUCUGGAUUUGAAAUGGUAUUGGAUAUUUUAUGGCUCACAAUGAAUAAUAUGUAGUUUUAUAAUUACUUUGGGAAGCUUAGUGCUACAAUAUGUCUAUUAUUCUUGUCAUAAUGUUAAAGGGAAUUUAUUUUGCAGAAUUCAAAUGGAAAUUCCCAAAUUUUAGCAUGUCUGUAAAAUGUUCAUUGUUAUGAAACUUACAUUUCCCCCUCCCCCAUUAAUUAUGCUACUUACUGGGCUCUGUCUCAUUCCAUUAUUUUAUAAACUUUUCAGAGUAGGCAACAGUCUUUUGAGACAGCUUUUUGAUGGCUAACAGUAGUUAGACUAAUUACUGAUGAAGACUGAACUUUUGUAAGGGGUAUAUUAGAUGGUAUACAUCUUAGAAUAGGCUUGACUCAUUCUUUUAUAUAUUAUAGUGGUUGUGACAUUAUUUCCACAGAUGGGACAAACUGAUGAUAUGUAAUUAAUUAUUCAGACUUCUAUUCUUUUGUGGCUAA